rnacentral:sRNA from 1 species
UGCAUCUUUGGCCUGUGAGGAUGAGAACCUCCGGGGGCAGGAGGUUCGACUCGAGCGGAGCGAGAGAACGUUGCGUCAGCAACGGCCCGCAGGGCGAGCCACAAAGCGGCGAGUCAUCCUCUAUCACCGACCA